AUCACAGACUGUAAGGAGAGCAAGCGUGGGGCGCCAAAAAGGCUUAGAUCUCGUGUUAGUGCCCCGAUUACACGAUGAGUUAUAAGUGUUAGUGUUGUCUCCUCUCCUUUUCCGCAGACACCCGCAUUAUCUACUCCGCCUGGGGAGUACGCCAGCAAGAAAGAACCUCAAAAGAAUUGACGGGGGCCCGCACAAGCGGUGCAGCAUGUGGUUUAAUUGGAAGCAACGCGAAGAACAUUACCAGGUCUUGACAUCCUGUGACAAUUCCAGAGAUAGGACGUCCCCUUCGGGGGCUGAGAGACAGGUGGUGCAUGGUUGUCGUCAGCUCGUGUUGUGAAAUGUUGGGUUAAGUCCCGCAACGAGCGCAACCCUUUUUCUUAGUUGCCAGCAUUCAGGUGGGGAAUUUAAGGGGGACGCCCGUGACAAACCGGAGGAAGGUGGGGGAGGCGUCAAAUUAUUCUUGGCCUUUUGGCCUAGGGUACCCCCGUUGUACAAUGGACAGAACAAAGGGGAAGGAAACCGCGAGGUUAAGCCAAUCCCACAAAUCUGUUCUCAGUUCGGAUCGCAGUUUGCAACUUGGAUGCGUGAAGCUGGAAUCGCUAGUAAUCGCGGAUCAGCAUGCCGCGGUGAAUACGUUCCCGGGCCUUGUACACACCGGCCGUCACACCCCGAGAGUUUGUAACACCCGAAGUCGGUGAGGUAACCUUUUAGGAGCCAGCCGCCGAAGGUGGGACUAGAUGACUUGGGGUGCA
rnacentral:rRNA from 1 species